AACUCAAACUCACGUCCAUCUCUCUCAACUCUCUCAAAUAGUAUGAACCCUAAUUCCUCUCUACACUCCACAACUCGGUCUCUCCGCAGCUUUCAAUCUCUACAAGCUCAGCCUCAUCUCUCCAAACCUCAGUCUCUCUUCAACGAAGCUUAUCAAAAUCAAAACUACCCUCUCGCUCCCAAGGUUAAAGCUGCUAUCUUGGUGUACAAAGGUCGAAAGCUCAGUUAUAUAUAUUAUGGGUUGAGGCUGAUGACACUAGCGAUCAUAUCGUUCCAUUUCCUCGUGGAUGUGAAGAACUACCUGCAGAUGUGCCGAAGAUCUUACUAAGAAGCCAAAAAAUAAAGAGAUUGCCAAUGGGAAAAUGUCAAAGCAGAAGAAGCAUGUUUCCUCGAGUGAGUUAGACGGGGUUAAACAAGAGAUAUCUUUCGAAUGUUAUAAUAAUAAAUUUCUUUCAGCUGCCGGAGACAGUGUAGACUCAUGGAACAAAUCCUUGGCCAAGGCUUCCAAGAAUUCGAGGGGUGAAGCUGUUUACUUGUACUCUAUCUAUUAGUUCAGUCAAAUCAUAAACUUCAGCACGGUGGUGGAGAAGCAUCUGAAGCUGAUUUUUUUGAGGUUUACAACGUGGUUCUGUAUCUUGGCAUAGUUGGCAUAAUUGUGUAUGUUUUGAUUUCAUGUUGUCGGAUAUUUUGGCUAGUGUACAAUUAGAAUUAGAAAAGAUGGAUGAAUAUUUCUUGUAAUUGAUGUUUGGAUUAGAUGAAAAUGUUGUACUUUUUGAUGUUUGGAUAUUGGUUGGCUGGAUAUGUAUAUAAUUGAUAUUAUGCAGUAA